rnacentral:rRNA from 1 species
UAAAGAAUUUCGGUAUGGGAUGGGGAUGCGUUCCAUUAGUUAGUUGGCGGGGUAACGGCCCACCAAGACGACGAUGGAUAGGGGUUCUGAGAGGAAGGUCCCCCACAUUGGAACUGAGACACGGUCCAAACUCCUACGGGAGGCAGCAGUGAGGAAUAUUGGUCAAUGGACGAGAGUCUGAACCAGCCAAGUAGCGUGAAGGAUGACUGCCCUAUGGGUUGUAAACUUCUUUUAUAUGGGAAUAAAAUGUUCCACGUGUGGGAUUUUGUAUGUACCAUAUGAAUAAGGAUCGGCUAACUCCGUGCCAGCAGCCGCGGUAAUACGGAGGAUCCGAGCGCUAUCCGGAUUUAUUGGGUUUAAAGGGAGCGUAGGUGAAUUGUUAAGUCAGUUGUGAAAGUUUGCGGCUCAACCGUAAAAUUGCAGUUGAAACUGGCAGUCUUGAGUACAGUAGAGGUGGGCGGAAUUCGUGGUGUAGCGGUGAAAUGCUUAGAUAUCACGAAGAACUCCGAUUGCGAAGGCAGCUCACUGGACUGCAACUGACACUGAGGCUCGAAAGUGUGGGUAUCAAACAGGAUUAGAUACCCUGGUAGUCCACACAGUAAACGAUGAAUACUCGCUGUUUGCGAUAUACAGCAA